rnacentral:rRNA from 1 species
UGACGAGUUUGAUCCUGGCUCAGAUUGAACGCUGGCGGCAUGCCUUACACAUGCAAGUCGAACGGCAGCACGGGAGCAAUCCUGUAGCGAGUGGCGGAACGGGUGAGUAACGUAUAUCGGAACGUGCCCAGUCGUGGGGGAUAACGCAGCGAAAGCUGUGCUAAUACCGCAUACGAUCUCUGGAUGAAAGCGGGGGACUCGCAAGGGCCUCGCGCGAUUGGAGCGGCCGAUAUCAGAUUAGGUAGUUGGUGGGGUAAAGGCUCACCAAGCCAACGAUCUGUAGCUGGUCUGA